GGACCGGUUAGCUCAGUCAGUUGAGCGUAGUGCUAACAACGCUAAAGUCGCGGGUUCGAUUCCCGUUCGGUCCC
rfam:Apaloderma vittatum contig79894, whole genome shotgun sequence.